rnacentral:rRNA from 1 species
GAACUUAAGCAUAUCAAUAAGCGGAGGAAAAGAAACUAACAAGGAUUCCCCUAGUAACUGCGAGUGAAGCGGGAAGAGCUCAAAUUUAAAAUCUGGCGGUACUCCACCGUCCGAGUUGUAAUCUAGAGAAGCAUUUUCAGUGUCGGACCGUGUACAAGUCUCUUGGAAUAGAGUGUCAUAGAGGGUGAGAAUCCCGUCCAUGACACGGACUACCGAUGCUAUGUGAUAUGCUCUCGAAGAGUCGAGUUGUUUGGGAAUGCAGCUCAAAAUGGGUGGUAAAUUCCAUCUAAAGCUAAAUAUUGGCGAGAGACCGAUAGCGAACAAGUACCGUGAGGGAAGGAUGAAAAGCACUUUGGAAAGAGAGUUAAACAGUACGUGAAAUUGUUGAAAGGGAAACGCUUGAAGUCAGUCGCGUUGUUUGAGACUCAGCCUUGCUACUUGCUUGGUGUACUUCUCAGAUGACGGGUCAACAUCAAUUUCUCUUGGUGGAUAAAUUUAGAGGGAAUGUGGCAUCUUCGGAUGUGUUAUAGCCCUCUAUUGCAUACACUGAGUGGGAUUGAGGAUUGCAGCAUGCCUUUAUGGCCGGGGUUCGCCCACGUAACAUGCUUAGGAUGUUGGCAUAAUGGCUUUAAGCGACCCGUCUUGAAACACGGACCAAGGAGUCUAUCAUGCUUGCGAGUGUUAGGGUGGAAAACCCUUGCGCGUAAUGAAAGUGAAAGUUGGGACCCUUCUGGGGGCACCGACGCCCGGCCCUGAUGUUUACUGACGGUGCUGCGGUAGAGCACGUAUGUUGGGACCCGAAA